rnacentral:rRNA from 1 species
CAGUAGCCACGGUAAAACGUAGGUCCCGAGCGUUGUCCGGAUUUAUUGGGCGUAAAGCGAGCGCAGGCGGUUAGAUAAGUCUGAAGUUAAAGGCUGUGGCUUAACCAUAGUACGCUUUGGAAACUGUUUAACUUGAGUGCAAGAGGGGAGAGUGGAAUUCCAUGUGUAGCGGUGAAAUGCGUAGAUAUAUGGAGGAACACCGGUGGCGAAAGCGGCUCUCUGGCUUGUAACUGACGCUGAGGCUCGAAAGCGUGGGGAGCAAACAGGAUUAGAUACCCGAGUAGUCCCUGUCUCUUAUACA